rnacentral:rRNA from 1 species
UACGGAGGAUCCAAGCGUUAUCCGGAUUUAUUGGGUUUAAAGGGUGCGUAGGCGGCUUAUUAAGUCAGAGGUGAAAGACGGUGGCUCAACCAUCGCAGUGCCCUUGAUACUGAUGAGCUUGAAUACACUUGAGGUAGGCGGAAUGUGACAAGUAGCGGUGAAAUGCAUAGAUAUGUCACAGAACACCAAUUGCGAAGGCAGCUUACUAAGGUGCAAUUGACGCUGAGGCACGAAAGCGUGGGGAUCAAACAGG